CGCCGGCCUGGUGUGGGGCGCGCGCGUCUCGCUGAUGGUGGGCCUGCUGUCGACCGCGGUGGCGCUGGUGUUCGGCAUCGUCGUCGGCGCC
rnacentral:tRNA from 5 species